CGCGUAGGCUGUUGAGUAAGUCAAAUGUGAAAUCCCCGGGCUUAACCUGGGAACUGCAUUCGAUACUGCUUAACUAGAGUAUGGUAGAGGGAAGUGGAAUUCCGGGUGUAGCGGUGAAAUGCGUAGAUAUCCGGAGGAACACCAGUGGCGAAGGCGACUUCCUGGGCCAAUACUGACGCUGGGGUGCGAAAGCGUGGGGAGCAAACA
rnacentral:rRNA from 1 species